UACGGAGGAUGCAAGCGUUAUCCGGAAUGAUUGGGCGUAAAGCGUCCGCAGGUGGCUAUGUAAGUCUGCUGUUAAAGAGUGAGGCUCAACCUCAUAAGAGCAGUGGAAACUACAUGGCUAGAGUGCGUUCGGGGCAGAGGGAAUUCCUGGUGUAGCGGUGAAAUUCGUAGAUAUCGGGAGGAACACCGGUGGCGAAGGCGCUCUGCUAGGCCGCAACUGACACUGAGGGACGAAAGCUAGGGGAGCGAAUGGG
rnacentral:rRNA from 1 species